rnacentral:rRNA from 1 species
CGUAAAGCGCAUGCAGGUGGUUUUGUUAAGUCAGAUGUGAAAGCCCGGGGCUCAACCUACGGAAUUGCAUUUGAAACUGGCAAACUAGAGUACUGUAGAGGGGGUAGAAUUUCAGGUGUAGCGGUGAAAUGCGUAGAGAUCUGAAGGAAUACCGGUGGCGAAGGCGGCCCCCUGGACAGAUACUGACACUCAGAUGCGAAAGCGUGGGGAGCAAAACAGGAUUAGAUACCCUGGUAA